rnacentral:rRNA from 1 species
AGCGUAGACGGAGUGGCAAGUCUGAUGUGAAAACCCGGGGCUCAACCCCGGGACUGCAUUGGAAACUGUCAAUCUAGAGUACCGGAGAGGUAAGCGGAAUUCCUAGUGUAGCGGUGAAAUGCGUAGAUAUUAGGAGGAACACCAGUGGCGAAGGCGGCUUACUGGACGGUAACUGACGUUGAGGCUCGAAAGCGUGGGGAGGCAAAAACA